AUACAUAGUCAAACGAAGCGAACCGGGGGAACUGAAACAUCUCAGUACCCCGAGGAAAAGAAAUCAACCGAGAUUCCCCUAGUAGCGGCGAGCGAACGGGGAGCAGCCCAGAGUCUUAAUCAGCAUCAGCAUCAGGAGAACGGUCUGGAAAGUCCGGCAGUAAAGGGUGAUAGCCCCGUAUCCGAAGGUGUUGGUGUUGUGAACUCGACGAGUAGGGCGGGACACGUGUUAUCCUGUCUGAAUAUGGGGGGACCAUCCUCCAAGGCUAAAUACUCCUGAUUGACCGAUAGUGAACCAGUACCGUGAGGGAAAGGCGAAAAGAACCCCGGCGAGGGGAGUGAAAUAGAACCUGAAACCGUGUACGUACAAGCAGUGGGAGCACCUUCGGGUGUGACUGCGUACCUUUUGUAUAAUGGGUCAGCGACUUAUAUUCUGUAGCAAGGUUAACCGUAUAGGGGAGCCGUAGGGAAACCGAGUCUUAACUGGGCGAAUGAGUUGCAGGGUAUAGACCCGAAACCCGGUGAUCUAGCCAUGGGCAGGUUGAAGGUUGGGUAACACUAACUGGAGGACCGAACCGACUAAUGUUGAAAAAUUAGCGGAUGACUUGUGGCUGGGGGUGAAAGGCCAAUCAAACCGGGAGAUAGCUGGUUCUCCCCGAAAGCUAUUUAGGUAGCGCCUCGUGAACUCAUCUUCGGGGGUAGAGCACUGUUUCGACUAGGGGGUCAUCCCGACUUACCAACUCGAUGCAAACUACGAAUACCGAAGAAUGUUAUCACGGGAGACACACGGCGGGUGCUAACGUUCGUCGUGAAGAGGGAAACAACCCAGACCGCCAGCUAAGGUCCCAAAGUCAUGGUUAAGUGGGAAACGAAGUGGGAAGGCUCAGACAGCCAGGAUGUUGGCUUAGAAGCAGCCAUCAUUUAAAGAAAGCGUAAUAGCUCACUGGUCGAGUCGGCCUGCGCGGAAGAUGUAACGGGGCUAAACCAUGCACCGAAGCUGCGGCAGCGACAUUUAGAUGUUGUUGGGUAGGGGAGCGU
rnacentral:rRNA from 1 species